rnacentral:lncRNA from 1 species
UAAUUUAAAGAAAUUAUUUACUACUAUACAAAAUCGGAAUUGCAGCAUAUUCCUAAAAUAAAUCGAUUACAAAGAUUUGAUUCGAAUUUAGUUAAGGUUGCAAAGAUAUUUUCCUUUGCUACCACGAAUUUCGUAACCUAAUCGUCACACGCCUAUAUAUACUCAUUAGCUUCACCUUUCAUCACACCAUCGAACACACAAAGCAUU